rnacentral:piRNA from 1 species
UGUGCCAGUGCCAGUGUGCUCACACGUA